rnacentral:rRNA from 1 species
UACGGAGGGUGCAAGCAUUAAUCGGAUUUAUUGGGCGUAAAGGGUUCGUAGGCGGUGUGGCAAGUCGGGAGUGAAAUCUCUGGGCUCAACCCAGAGUCUGCUUCCGAAACUGCUGUGCUUGAGUGUGGGAGAGGCGCGUGGAAUUGCAGGUGUAGCGGUGAAAUGCGUAGAUAUCUGCAGGAACACCCGUGGCGAAAGCGGCGCGCUGGACCACUACUGACGCUGAGGAACGAAAGCUAGGGGAGCAAACAGG